rnacentral:rRNA from 1 species
AUGCAGUGGCGCAUGAGGCGCCGUGCGUUUUGGGCGGGGGCGGCGACGCUGUGCCCGAUUCGGCCGCUGGCUCGUCCGAUUCGGCCGUCGGACCGGUCUCGCCGGGCGUGCGUCAGUUGGAUCAAGGGGUGGGCUUGGCUGAUGGCAAGUUUUCCGGGGCGUCCUGCAACACCUUCAGCUCUGGAGGCGGUCCGUCGAGUCGGGCGGCCGCAGUGGCGCGGCGGAUUCGUGCACGACAUUCAGUUCUGGGGGCGUGGCGACGAGUCGCCGGCCGUCGUCUCGAGCUGCACAAUGCAGUCCCUACGUCACAGCGGCCCGGCUUUGGCUAACACCACCAUCCGCGUAGGCUGGAAGCGGAGGCCAAGAGGUCCUCGUGCGCCAGACGAGAGGGCUGUAGUAGCUGACCGUGUUCCGCCAUUGGAAGCUGCUAUUAGAGGAUUCGCUGAUAGGGGGACUGAUGUGGGCGUCAACCCGGUGCUUGGCACUAUUUUUGAUUCGCUGGUAGAGGCGUAUGAAUUCUAUAAUCUAUAUUCAUGGGAGGUCGGCUUUGGGAUUCGUUACGGCAAGAGCAGGCAAAAUGUCAAUGGGACAUCUAGUCCUCGUCUCGGCGCACCUCGGGCACAGGAUCAAUGGCAGCAGUGGCGGGGGGCUGCGGAGACGACGCGCAGAAGAUGA